ACGUGGAUAACCUACCUAUAAGACUGGGAUAACUUCGGGAAACCGGAGCUAAUACCGGAUAAUAUAUUGAACCGCAUGGUUCAAUAGUGAAAGACGGUUUUGCUGUCACUUAUAGAUGGAUCCGCGCCGCAUUAGCUAGUUGGUAAGGUAACGGCUUACCAAGGCAACGAUGCGUAGCCGACCUGAGAGGGUGAUCGGCCGCACUGGAACUGAGACACGGUCCAG
rnacentral:rRNA from 1 species